rnacentral:rRNA from 1 species
AGGGUUUGAUCCUGGCUCAGAACGAACGGUGGCGGUGUGCUUAUUACAUGCAAGUCGAGCGGAAGCCGGGGCAACUCGGCGAGAGCGGCGGACGGGUGAGUAACGUAUAGAUAACCUGCCCUUAAGAGGGGGACAACAGUUCGAAAGGACUGCUAAUACCGCAUAAGAUUGUGGCUUCACAUGGAGCAGCAAUAAAAGUGGGGGACCUUCGGGCCUCAUGCUUAAGGAUGGGUCUAUAUCCUAUCAGCUAGUUGGUGAGGUAAGAGCUUACCAAGGCGAUGACGGGUAGCCGGCCUGAGAGGGUGGGCGGCCACACGGACACUGAGACACGGGUCCGACUCCUACGGGAGGCAGCAGUAAGGAAUCUUGGGCAAUGGGCGAAAGCCUGACCCAGCGACACCGCGUGAAUGAUGAAGGCCUUCGGGUUGUAAAGUUCUAACACGCGUUAUGAAGGUGCUUGUGAUAACACCACGAGUAUCGGACAAAGGCGCGGGAUGAAGUCAUUGCUAACUCUGUGCCAGCAGCAGCGGUAAUACAGAGAUGGCGACCGUUGUUCGGAAUCACUGGGCUUAAAGGGCACGUAGGCGGGGUGAAAAGUUGGUUGUGAAAUGUCAUGGCUCAACUAUGUCACUGCGAUCAAAACUAUCAUUCUUGAGUGCGGCAGGGGGGAGUGGAACUCCUGGUGGAGCGGUGAAAUGCGUUGAUAUCAGGAGGAACGCCGGAGGCGAAAGCGACUCUCUGGGCCGUGACUGACGCUGAGGUGCGAAAGCCAGGGGAGCAAACGGGAUUAGAUACCCCGGUAGUCCUGGCCCUAAACGAUGAACACUAGGUAGGGGGGUAAGCCUCUCUGCUGAAGCAAAAGCGAUAAGUGUUCCGCCUGGGGAGUACGGUCGCAAGGCUGAAACUCAAAGGAAUUGACGGGGGCCCGCACAAGCGGUGGAGUAUGUGGUUUAAUUCGAAGCAACGCGCAGAACCUUACCUGGGUUUGACAUACUCGGAUUAUCCUGUUGAAAAAUGGGAGACGCUUUUCGGAGAGGAACGAGAACAGGUGUUGCAUGGCUGUCGUCAGCUCGUGCCGUGAGGUGUUGGGUUAAGUCCCAUAACGAGCGAAACCUUUAUCCUUAGUUGCCAGCGGGUAAAGCCGGGGACUCUAAGGAGACUGCAUACGUUAAGUGUGAGGAAGGUGGAGACGACGUCAAGUCAUCAUGGCCUUUAUGCCCAGGGCCACACACGUACUACAAUGGUAGGUACAAAGGGAGGCGAAGUCGAAAGGCGGAGCGGAUCUCAAAAAGCCUACCCAAGUUCGGAUUGAGGGCUGCAAUUCGCCCUCAUGAAGCUGGAAUCGCUAGUAAUCGUGGGUCAGCUAUACCACGGUGAAUGUGUUCCCGAGCCUUGUACACACCGCCCGUCAAGCCACCGAAGCAGGGGUAGCCUGAAGUCGCUGACCGAACCGAAAGGACGGAGGCGCCCAAGGAGGCCUUUGUGACGGGGACUAAGUCGUAACAAGGUAGCCGUAGGAGAACCUGCGGCUG